rnacentral:rRNA from 2 species
UCUUAAGGGCAUUCGGUGGAUGCCUUGGCGACAAGAGGCGAUGAAGGACGUGAUACGCUGCGAUAAGCCAUGGGGAGCUGCGAAUAAGCUUUGAUCCGUGGAUUUCCGAAUGGGGAAACCCACUCCGUAUGGAGUACCCGCAAGGGAGCAAACCCGGGGAACUGAAACAUCUAAGUACCCGGAGGAAAGGACAUCAACCGAGACUCCGCUAGUAGUGGCGAGCGAACGCGGACCAGGCCAGUGGCUUGCAUUUAAGAACCGGAACCGUCUGGAAAGUCGGGCAUUAGUGGGUGAUAGCCCCGUACGGGUAGAAAUUAUGCAAGUCCUCGAGUAGGGCGGGACACGUGAAAUCCUGUCUGAACGUGGGGGGACCACCCUCCAAGCCUAAGUACUCCUUGUCGACCGAUAGCGAACAAGUACCGUGAGGGAAAGGUGAAAAGUACCCCGACGAGGGGAGUGAAACAGUUCCUGAAACCGGAUGCCUACAAACAGUUGGAGGGCGCAAGCCUGACAGCGUACCUUUUGUAUAAUGGGUCAGCGACUUAAUUUAACGAGCAAGCUUAAGCCGGUAGGUGUAGGCGUAGCGAAAGCGAGUCUGAAUAGGGCGCCCUAGUUCGUUGGAUUAGACCCGAAACCGAGUGAUCUAGCCAUGGCCAGGUUGAAGGUGCGGUAACACGCACUGGAGGACCGAACCCACGCCUGUUGAAAAAGUCGGGGAUGAGCUGUGGCUAGGGGUGAAAGGCCAAUCAAACUCGGAAAUAGCUGGUUCUCCGCGAAAUCUAUUUAGGUAGAGCGUCGGAUGAAUACUCUCGGGGGUAGAGCACUGGAUGGGCUAUGGGGGCUUACCGCCUUACUGAUCCUAACCAAACUCCGAAUACCGAGAAGUACUAUCCGGCAGACACACAGUGGGUGCUAACGUCCAUUGUGGAGAGGGAAACAACCCUGACCGCCAGUUAAGGUCCCUAAGUUAUGGCUAAGUGGGAAAGGAUGUAGAACUCCCAAAACAACCAGGAUGUUGGCUUAGAAGCAGCCAUCAUUUAAAGAAAGCGUAACAGCUCACUGGUCUAAAUAAGGGGUUCCGCGCCGAAAAUGUACCGGGGCUCAAGCCAUACACCGAAACUGCGGGUGCAUCUUAUGAUGCGCGGUAGCGGAGCGUUCUGUAAGUCUGCGAAGGGGGACCCGUGAGGGCUCCUGGAGAUAUCAGAAGUGCGAAUGCUGACAUGAGUAACGAUAAAGCGGGUGAGAGACCCGCUCGCCGAAAGUCCAAGGGUUCCUGCGCAACGCUAAUCGGCGCAGGGUUAGCCGGCCCCUAAGGCGAGGCCGAAAGGCGUAGUCGAUGGGAAUGCAGUUAAUAUUCUGCAGCUUGGUGGUAGU